UCGAGAAAGCUUCCGUCAUCUCAAAAAAAAAAAAGCUUCCGUCGUGCGAGAAACCGCCGGCUCCUCUGCUGUGGAUUUCUCCGUGCAUCACCUACCUUGGAUCUUCUUCUCCUGAUCCCCAUCCCCGUCGUCUACCCAAGGCCUCUUCCGCCGCCGGCUGGGCCGUCAAUUUCCCCAGCUCCCCACCGCCGCCAGCCAUGGCCGGAACUUCCGGGAAAGAAGGGGAGAGGUGCGCGAGCUCAGGAUUCCGGGCGUGGCUACCGGGGCGGCGCGCCUCAUGGCCGACAGUGGUUUGCUUGCGGGAUAUCUCUUCCUGCUCUCCCCGGUGGUCUGGUCGGGUCUCGAUGAAAUCCACCAAGCACACGCCCCAUCACUCUCUCACCCCACCAAAUCCCCACCACCACCACUCCUCCUACUUCCUCCCCCCGACAACUUCUGCGCCGGCACCCGCACCAUCCUCAUCCUCGGCCGUCUCCUCCCCUCGUGUCGCCUUCUUCACCGCCGACACGACCACUUACCAGGCGCCACCUCCUUGCCUCGUGGGGAUCCCGUCAAGAACGGGCUGACUUCACCACGGGCAGGCGAAACCCGAGCCCGCCGGUGGCAUGGUCAACUCCGUCGCCGGCAGGCCCCCUAUGGCCAACCUGCACCGCCUAGCGCAGAAACAAUCCGGCGCAGCCUCCUGCCCCAGCGCGGAAGCACGACACGCCGACGCCACCACGCCCCAAAUCGUCCCUACCGCUGGGCGCCCCGCGCCUCACUGCUUUCACCGCGCCACCGUCGCCGGCACCCCCCUAAUUCCCACGUCGUGGCUGACCGGGAAGAGGCUCCCGAUGCCGGAUUCGAGCGGGCUGCAGCGGCGGCGGUCUCUGUGGUAGGGGACGGGGCGGUGUGGCGGCUGUCGAGGCCGGCUUAGCCCCUGCCCUAUCGCCCUUCUGGAUGCCGACUCGUGUGGCGCACCGGCGCCUGGGCCAAAUCUGGGCGUGCGACUGCCCAGCACGCCUCCUUUGGUGCACCGACGCUCACCUCACAGCCUAUUUUUUUUGUUUGCCAUGUCCUUGGUUGCCGUCUGAUUUCGUUUGUGUGCGCAGAGACGGUGAUCUAGGAGGAUCUUAGUGUGGCGGUCGCGAUCUCCACCUUUGCAGCCUCCCCGCACAUGGUUCUCAUGGUCAACAGUGGCGUGGCGUGCUUCUGAGAAAGGGGCGAUCCCGAGCUAGCCGCCGAGCUCCCUAACGGAGGAGCCAGAGCUCCAUGGUUAUGUGCACCAAGUGAGGUUCUCUCGCCUAUGUCCAGCGUUGUAUUUAGCAGUGGUGGCAGCCUGGAGAUUCCCGGCUUUGUAUUUGGCUUCGUCGAGCGGGAUGAGGCCGACGUCUGCGGACGACCCUCUCAUCAUUGGGUGGUAAUCUCGGUUACGUGGUUUCUAUUUACAUGUCCUAUACUACUACCAACUGCGAAGGAUGAGAAGAGUCGUGUUUCUUGCCUGCCGAAAAUUGGUUUACUUUAACUCUGUCCAUAGUUGGCUGAUCCGACCAGGACAUCGGUUUUUUGGGAUCGUUUGUCAUUACCUUGUUAUAAUAAAUCUACUAUGUUUACCUUGUAUGAUCAUGUGAAAUUGUGGAAACAUCCGCUUUUACUAAUUCAUCUGUAGUAAAAGUAAGUAUAUGACUGUUGCAUUGCUCUGACCAUAUAUCCAACAUGACACAGGUUUACAGCGACCUGGCCGUUGACUACUUGAAGAUGUUCCAGAAACCGUCGUUGCUCUAGGGCUGUGAGUACAUCUACAUUUAUUUUCUUUUUACAGCUUCUGUACUUCUCAAGUUGAAUUUAAACUGUUCGCAGCAAACAUUCUUUUGCUACUGAAGAGGAACCUCCUAUUUAGUUAUGUCAGCCAACUCCUUUUAUGAUAAUUUAUAUUUGCUGAUCUGUUUGACGUGCUGGGAUGAGCCUUUUAUGAAGUUGACCUGCUGACAUGAAGCUUCCGAGCCAACAGUGUAUAUUUCAGUUACUCCUAAGUUUGAGUGACAUUCGGUUUUAGUUCCUUCGUUCAAACCAGGUGCAUUUUUUUAGGUUGUCGUCGUCUUCCCGAUGGAUGUACGACUCUUCUCAACAGCAGCGGUACAGGAGCAUGGCGGCGGCGGCGGCUUCUCCGACCUUGCCCUCAAGCUGGUAACGCCGGAGUCGACUCGGGGAGGCAGCCGACCAUGUCCAGGUCCACCCAGGACAUGUAGACCAAGGAAGAGCUGGAGGUAUCGGCGACCAGCAAGGAGGAUUUCUCCAUUAGGUGGAUGGCCGAGAACGAGUCCAAGCCUCAAGGGAUCCCAUCCUCCCAGGGCAGCAAGUAGGCUUUGGAUCCACCCCGCGAACAACGGGGCUGCCCAGGGCGAUGUCAUGCAAGUCGUCUCACAGCUCUAUGCAGGAACAAUAUUGAUAUGCAAAAAGGGACUGAUACAGAGGUAGUUACCAUAUCCAUUUUUACGCAGAUUUCUGUACUUUGAUGUGUAAGCAGAAGGUUUGUAGAAUUUUAUAGGAAGAAAUGGAUUUGCCAAAGAAAAAUGACCUUUUGAUCUUAGUUUACUGAAGUAUUGUUUAUUUGACAAGACAAUGCACUUCCAAUCACUCUUAGUUCUGAGAAAUUCUCAGGAUGCUAUGAAGCAGCAGGGAGUCAUACAAUGAUGGCAUAAUUUUAUUUAUUUCAUUAGUCAAUCAACUCUUUACUGUACAUGUCCCAAGAUGCUCAUUUCUGUACUGAACUCGCUGUUUCCGUUUCUUAUUGAUUUUUUUUGCGAAUGCUUCUGAUGUGUAUCCUCAAAAAUUCAGAAAAUAAGAACUUAGCUUGCAAAAUGUUCUCAUUGGUCUGCUUGGAUCUUGGUUACUUCGUUUAUUUUCUCCUUGGAUCUUGAAGACUGCCUCUAUUCUCCUUUUCUAUGCAUUGUUUAAUGAUUUUUCAAUGUUGUUGUAUGGACAUUAGGUUUGGGCGUUUGGCUCUCCAUUUGUAGUUUUAGUGAAGUAGAUUGGAGAGACAUAUCAUAAAUGGUAGCUAUAUUCUUGGUUCAGUAUUAUGAUAGUAUCAGUGAAAUUGACCAUGCCAAUGUUUUCUUCCUCUCUAGAAGUGCGAUAUUUUCUUCCGCAAAAGGAAGCCAUUGGUGCAAAAGAGGUCAAGCUUUGAUUCUAUUUGAGUUUAUGCUCUCUUUGUAAUCCCGUUUUCCUUUCUAAUUAGCAUUUGAUUGUGUUUCAAUGGCAAGAUGAAGUAUAGUUGGCAUUUGCAAAUACACUGCAAGAUGGAAAGUACAAGAAAUCUCUCAAAAGAUGCCAAUGAUAUUCUAAUACAAAGUAGGUUGCAAUGGGUCAUCAAGACUAUGGGAGAUAACAACACCAGCAAUUCAGGCAACAACACUCCCUAUUCAUUGCAGUUUUUAUCUUCUUGGAAGAAAUUAUCUUGCAAGCUGAUAAAACUUAUAAAAGGAGACUGGGACAUACUGUUGGCCGGCCUUGCCAUUGCCGUCAUCAGAGACCAUUUGCAUGUGUGUGCCAUGCGCUGCUAUUGGUGAGAUUUCUUGGUCUUUAGUUUGCUACCCCCAUUUGUAAUUACUCAAUAAGUAAGACUAAGCAGCUUUUCUAUCUGGACCUUGGUGCAUAAAUUUCUUGGGCAACUGAAUCCGAAAUAAGCAGCUUAGUCUUAGUUGUAGAUGCUAGCGACUGUGUUACCACACCAUGAUUAUACUGUAGGUAGGUUGAGAUGUGCAGGGUGUCGCAUUCGCUGAUGAAUAUUAGUCAAUAGGUAUCAGAAAUCGGUCAAUUACGCGAGAAGUUUAAGUGUUGCUUUCUUGUGGAGAGCACUGAUGGCUGGAGAUUAUUGAAGCACUUUGUUUGUUCAAGUUAGAUGCUACAUAUUUUCAUUGUAAAUACUACUGGUUGUUUAACUGAAUGAAGUUAUUUAAGUUUAGAUGUGUUGUGCCUCUGAA